CGGAGCGUAGCGCAGUUGGCUAGCGCACUACCUUGGGGUGGUAGGGGCCGCUGGUUCAAGUCCAGUCGCUCCGA
rnacentral:tRNA from 2 species